rnacentral:rRNA from 1 species
ACAAGAGAAAGAGGAGAAGAGCGAACGGAGGAUGCCUAGGCUUCUGGAGGCGACGAAGGACGUGGUAAGCUGCGACAAGGCGCGGGGAUCUGCAAACAGGAAUUGAUCCGCGCAU